rnacentral:rRNA from 1 species
GCACAAGCAGCGGAGUCGUGUGGUUUAAUUCGUUGCUACACGAAGAACCUUACCUGGGUUUGACAUAUAGGUUGUAGGGAACUGAAAAGGGACCGACCCUUCGGGGAGCCUAUACAGGUGUUGCAUGGCUGUCGUCAGCUCGUGUCGUGAGAUGUUCGGUUAAGUCCGCUAACGAGCGCAACCCUCGUCGUAUGUUAUAUGUGUCAUACGAGACUGCCGGUAAAAGCCGGAGGAAGGUGAGGAUGAUGUCAAGUCAGCAUGACCUUUAUAUCCAGGGCUACACACACGCUACAAUGGUCUGUACAAUGGGUAGCCAAGCCGCGAGGCGGAGCCAAUCCUGAAAGCAGGCCUCAGUUCAGAUUGCAGUCUGCAACUCGACUGCAUGAAGCCGGAGUUGCUAGUAACCGCAGGUCAGCAAUACUGCGGUGAAUACGUUCCCGGGUCUU